AUGGAGAGCAUAACAUUUUUAAACAUAGAACCAUUUUCAAAACAGCACACAGUUUACUUUUGGACUUUGAUGCUCAAAUCUAUGUGCUUGUUAUUAUCUUUUUUGUUGCAGGGUAGGAUGUUUGACAUAUAUUUUUUUUCAGGAGUAAUUUUCAUCUCGGUGAUCAAUGUGCCCUGUUUAGUGUUUUCAUUCAACUUUCCCACAAUAAAAGUCCAAGUGAACAGCCCUGUCACACUGCCCUGUAACCAUACAUGCUUUGGUGAGCUUACCUGGGACGCUGGGGGGAUCGGUAGGCUUCGGACAGUUGUCAGCUGUCAUCAGGGAAAAUGUACUGAGGGAGAAGAUUACAAGAACAGGACCAAACUCUCAGUUGAGAAGUUUCCGAGGGGGGAUCUCUCUUUGACUAUCAGUUCAGUCAAGAUCAGCGACCAGAACACAUACACGGGCACCUGUAACUAUAGUGCAGUCUGCUAUUUACAACUUCAUGUUUUGGCUAAAGGCAGUAGAAUUGCAAUCCAAACAGUCCUGAGUACCGGAAGAGAGUGUCUGUCCACAAGAACUCUCUCACACUGUCAGACGUGGCCCUGUCUGACAGCGGAGUGUUUGCUCUGAAAGACCCCAAGACCAAUGGACUCAUCAGUGCCCUUUAUGUCUCUGUCUCUGCCACAGUUACUCGUGAGACGCACUGGAAAUCAUUUGUUGUAAGGAUUGCUCUGCUUCUGCUUAUAUGCAGUUUAAUAUUCAGUUUGGCACGAUAUCUGGAAAAAAUGAGUAAUAAGCAACAAAUGGAGAACAAUUGUGCAUUUUCAGCCAAACAAUAAUGCCACUAUACUUUUAAAUGCCCCAUGCUAUUCAGUCUAUGGAUUUUGGACCUUUUUCUGACCUUUCAUAUUCAGCAUCUGGACCUGCUAAUUUUUUGGACCUUUUUCUGACCUUUCAUAUUCAGCAUCUGGACCUGCAUUUUACUUUACGGUGGCUCUUAGAUUCACGCUGAUCUGCUCAAUAUGUUUCACUGGACAGUUUCAUCACACUUUUUAUGAAUUACCGGACAGCCUCUGUGAACUAGACAUGUUUAAAGAUCUAGUUUUUGUCUAUUUUAUUUCAUAUGAAUAAAUAGAAUUAACAAUCUGCA
ensembl:lncRNA uncharacterized LOC114793419